rnacentral:sRNA from 2 species
UAAUAAAAAUUGUCGGAACGGAGGAACCACUUUUGGGGCGUAUCUUUUGAAAGUAGAAAGAGGAGUAUCUCUCAACUCUAGCCCGUCAGCUAACUUCGUAGGCAUUGAGAGGAAAC